rnacentral:rRNA from 1 species
UACGGAGGGUGCUAGCGUUGUUCGGAAUUACUGGGCGUAAAGCGCGUGUAGGCGGCUUGGCAAGUCGGAUGUGAAAUCCCCGGGCUCAACCCUGGAACUGCAUCCGAAACUACCUAGCUAGAGUCCUGGAGAGGAAGGCAGAAUUCCCGGUGUAGGGGUGAAAUCCGUAGAUACCAGGAGGAACAUCGGUGGCGAAGGCGACUUCCUGGCUCGUUUCUGACGCUCAGACGCGAAAGCGUGGGGAGCAAACAGG